GGGCCCGUAGCUCAGUUGGUUAGAGCGCUGGCCUUAUAAGCCAGUGGUCACGGGUUCGACUCCCGUCGGGCCCA
rnacentral:tRNA from 1 species